rnacentral:rRNA from 1 species
AUUGAACGCUGGCGGCAGGCUUAACACAUGCAAGUCGAGCGGAGAUGAGGUGCUUGCACCUUAUCUUAGCGGCGGACGGGUGAGUAAUGCUUAGGAAUCUGCCUAUUAGUGGGGGACAACAUUCCGAAAGGAAUGCUAAUACCGCAUACGUCCUACGGGAGAAAGCAGGGGAUCUUCGGACCUUGCGCUAAUAGAUGAGCCUAAGUCGGAUUAGCUAGUUGGUGGGGUAAAGGCCUACCAAGGCGACGAUCUGUAGCGGGUCUGAGAGGAUGAUCCGCCCCACUGGGACUGAGAAACGGCCCAGACUCCUACGGGAGGCAGCAGUGGGGAAUAUUGGACAAUGGGAGGAACCCUGAUCCAGCCAUGCCGCGUGUGUGAAGAAGGCCUUAUGGUUGUAAAGCACUUUAAGCGAGGAGGAGGCUACUGAGACUAAUACUCUUGGAUAGUGGACGUUACUCGCAGAAUAAGCACCGGCUAACUCUGUGCCAGCCGCCGCAGUAA